rnacentral:rRNA from 1 species
GUCGAGAAUAAUUCACAAUGGACGAAAGUCUGAUGGUGCAACGCCGCGUGGAGGAUGAAGGUCUUCGGAUUGUAAACUCCUGUCAUCGGGGAGUAAGACCUGGCGGUAAAUAGCCUACAGGGUUGAUAGUACCCGAAGAGGAAGGGACGGCUAACUUCGUGCCAGCAGCCGCGGUAAUACGAAGGUCCCAAGCGUUGUUCGGAAUCACUGGGCGUAAAGGGAGCGUAGGCGGCGUGGGCAGUCAGAUGUGAAAUCCCGGGGCUCAACCCCGGAACUGCAUCCGAUAAUGCCAUGCUUGAGGGUUGGAGAGGUAGCUGGAAUUCUCGGUGUAGCAGUGAAAUGCGUGGAUCUCGAGGGGGACACUCGUGGCGAAGGGGAGCUACUGGACAACAUCUGACGCUGAGGCUCGAAGGCCAGGGGAGCAAAAGGGAUUAGAAACCCCGGUAGUCC